CUCAGACACUUCAGGAGCCUGCAGAGUCCUACAUGUUGGUGCCUAAAAUAAGAUAUCCUACCUGGCAGUGAAGACCACCCUAAAUAUCUACUGGUAGGCAGAGGUAAAAUUGCUUUAGCUGGCACGAUUAUCACUGUUCACUGCUGCAUUCAGCAUGCUGCUCAAUGUGAUAAUGAGUGAUGUCUUUUUUCCAUCACUUCAAUACAGGUUCUCUUGUGAAAAGUAACCUGUCUGGAGAUCUGGAAAGUGCACUCCAAGCUGAUGUGAUGAGACACUUGACAGGGGGAAAGCCACUGACUACAGGCCCUUCAGUUGGCAAUGGUCUCCAUUGAGAACAACAUUCAGUAACUUGCUGAAACAGGAGUCUCAAUAACUCUACAUUUCAGUUCAGAGAUCUUGUUUACUGACUUCUCAGUAUCUCUUCUAAGCUAUAAAAUUGAUCCUUCCCUUCCCUUCCCUUCCCUUCCCUUCCCUUCC